CUAUGGCUUAGUAUACAGGAUUAUAAGAAGAUGCUGCUAUGGGCUGAAUGUUUGUGCACUCCCACUCCCAAAAUUUCCAUGUUGAAGCCUAUUCUCCAAUGUGAUGAUAUUUGGAGGUGGGGCCUUUGAGAGAUAAUUAGCUCAUGAGGGUGGAGCCUAAAUGAAUGGGAUCAAUACCCUUUUCAAAAGAGGAGGAAGCGUGGGAUUCAAGUAAGAGGAUGACAUCCCUAAACCAGGAAGCAGGCCCUCACAAAACACCGGAUCUGCCAGCACCAGUGAUCUUGGACUUCUCAGUCUCCAGAACUGAUUAAAUUUCUGCCAAGAAGUACAUGGUGACAAAGAACAGACACUCCAGAGACAGACCCUUUGGCUUCUAACCUGCCUUUCCCACUUAAUGGAGGCAUGACCUUGGGCUAUAUAUUCAUAAGACCUUUGAGACUGAAGGAGCUGGAAUGGAGAAGAGCUGACUGAAUGGCAAAGGGUAAGAAGAGGAAGUGGCUUCCCUUAAGUUAGAAGCUGUUUUCACCUAUGGGCUGCGACAAUGCACUGGCCAUGUGUUCUAGACCUAAUCUGGGUGAGUGAAUAACUGGGAGGAUGUGGAACCCAGGAAGAGGAUGACAGCUCACUUACAGCUUCAGGAGCCUAAUCUGGGAAUCACACUUAUAUUCCCUCUGCUUUUAGAGCUAUUGGACACACCAAAGGGGGCUUUCUCCAAGGGCAGAAACUCUCCCAUAACUCUGGUUCUGUUUUAUGUGAUGUAGUAGAGAUUGUAAACCACAGCCUGAAUACAGGAGGAUGUGGCUGCACAGGAAAAGGCUUUGUGGGUAAAAUGGGGAAAAGAAUGCAAGGUAGAGGACGAAAGAAACUAAAGUGAAGAGUUCUUUAAAGUAACACUUAAAAUUCCCCAGACUUCCUAAAUAACAGCCUUCUGGGGUCACGUGCUAUAGAAAUGCAACACUUUGUGCUGUCUUUCUAAAACUCUUUGUUGAACUCUUUUUCUAACAAAGGAAUAUCUACUGUUUUUACACUUAAUCAGCUGUAAUGAAAGAAUAUGAAGAGCUGUCAUGUGCUUUUUAGGGAAAAUUAUCAGAUAUUCUUUUAUAUGAUGAAGUAACACACUGAGCUGAUAAUUCUAUAGUGCAUACUAAAUUACAAUUAAGGGCCUUUCUGCUCCACCAGAAUCUCAUUUAUAAUCUCUAUGGAAAUAUUCUUCCUGCAGUUAUUUCAUUUACGCUUCCUUUAUCUAAUUACUAUAAUAUUGGUUCUGAAUCAUAUUUUCCUAAUGUACCCUUAUUCAAUUAUAAAGUUAUUUUCAAGUACAGUUACUUUUUAAUAUCAAAGAAUACCACUUGGCCAUCUAAGUCAUUUGUCAUGCUUCUUAAUUGCAGAUUGUUCCUGAGCCACUUUUUUCUCCACUUUUAAGGAGGGUGAAACUUCUAUCAAUCACAAUCUAUUAAAUGACCCUAUUUCUUCAAAAUAUUCACCCAAAAGGAAAGUCCUGAUCAUGAGAUCUGCAAGUUAGAUAUUCUGUACUUUAUGUAUCAUAUGCUACUGUUUUGUUGGGUUUGAAGAAAAGCAUACAUUGAGAAAUACCAUUACACCCUAAAUGUUUUAGGUUUUAAUUUACAGAAAUAGUUUUGUCCUGAAUGGCCAUUUCUGACUUGUUUCUUUUAGCUUGGAGCAGGCUACAGGUAAAGAAUAUUAAGUCAAUAGAGUAUUGGCUUCUUUAAGACUGUUUCCCGAAGGCAAGAGGCACAAAGUUUCUGGAAGCAGCAGUGUACUCUGGCAUCCUCCACAUUCAUAAGUGUGAUUCCCCUGAGUAGGGACUACGUGGACCCUGGCAGAUGGAUGUCUGUGGAAAGAGUCCCACCAGCCACUCCACAAAGCUUUGGCUCCCUCCGUACCAGCCAGGACGACCAGGAAGAAAGACCUGCUUGAGCAGCCCAGUCACGCAGAGGACCCUACAAGUGAACUCUAGCAAUGACAUGAGCAGUGGAGCCCACAACAAAAGCCUGUAGCAAAAGCUUUGCUUUGGCAUUCAGAUGCUGGGUUGAUGAAUCACUAAGUGGAACACAGGGAGGUGAACUUGAAUCUCUGCCCGUCGGCCUGGGAGAUGAUGUACUGCCGAAGACACAAGAGGGGAGGUGGCUCCAGCGGGCUCUCCGCUGAGCAAGGCCUUCUCUCUGACUUUUUCCUCAUAGUGUUCAGCCUCCCCGAUUCUUUGGAACAUUUUCCGUAAAGCCUCAUUUGGUGAGACACUCUGUUCCUUCUUAGGAAACAUAGGCAUCUAUCUUAGUUCACUCCUAGAUUAGUAGUCUCUCUUCCAUCCUGACUCAUAAGAAAAAUCAUUUAAUUAAUACUGAAUAGAUGGAUGAAUAAAUGAGUGAAUGAAACCCAACCCCCUGCCUUAUCUAUCCUCUGAGAAACCUACCUGCUGCCACAUACAAAGUAGACAUAAUGUGAUGCCAUAACCAAUUAUUUGGCUGUAAACCCCAGGCCUUGCUAAAGAUGCCACAAAGAGAAAGGGUGGUAGGCUGUGGAAACCUCUGUCUGCAGAGGAGGCUGUGGCCAUUUGCCACUGGGCAGCCUCUCAGCCCAGGGAACCAUAAUGACCAGAGUCCAGGGCACUGCCUGGAAUUAAUGGCUGGCUGGGAAAAUGGCCCGGGACACAGUAAGGACCAUUAAGCCCAGCCAGUUAUUAAUCCCCAGUAAGAGCUUGAUGCCAAGGUCAUUAGAGCUGUUGUGAGGUGAAAAAUGCCCAGGAAAAUGCACAGCACAUGGAAGAGUGACUGUUCUCCAGGCUGCUGAUGCUCAGAGCUACAGCCCAGGCCCCCAGAAGCCAGCAUGCUGUACAGGAGCCAGUGGGAGGCAGGUGGGUGGGGUCUCUAGAGGGAGUGUGCAGAUACACACACACAUGUGAAUGCACACUCAGAUCUUACCAUUUUAUUUUUGCUGUCUCUUUUGUGCUUUGGUAAUUUUAAGUAUUUGCCAUCAUCCCAGAAUCUAAGAUACUAUCUGCAAUUUAGAGGAGGACUCAUGAAUAUUUUAGAAUGUGUGAAUGAGUUUCUCCUUCCAUCACCCCUGCCCACCCCCAGCAACAACAACAAAAACCAGCACCAUCACCAACAAAACCCCCAAACAUACCUAAAAUAAUGGAAUAGCGAAGCAUGACAACUUUCAUCACAACUAACUCCUUUGGGCUGUGGUGACAGGAGCAAUCCCUUCUUGGGAAGCGUGCUCAGGGAAUCAAGGUCUGAUUUCUGUCACAGCCUGAAGAGCAAGAGCAGAAGGAAUUCUCCCUGUGACCUGGCUGACUGCUCUGGAGCCUUCCUUAAGAGAAUAGGCCAGGCCAACUGAAAUUAAACUUGACACCUAAAACACUCAGCGAUGUCCUUGUAAACAUUUGCAGCAUGGCAAUAUCAGGCUUCCGUUUUUAAAAUUCUGAUAUAUUUGGCAGAGGGAAAAGUACCUCAGAGCAUAAUGUCCAUUAGCUCAGUAAUGAGACCGGUCUUGCUCUGGGAGCUGCCUGUUAGUCUGGAGCAAACAUAAGACAUAUUAAAUGGCUUCAGGUGUUUCAAGAAUCUCUGUACUUUCCAAUCUGAUGUUUUCCUGUAAUUACUGUGCUUUUUAUUAGCUGUCAAUCUCAGUUCAGGCUGACACUGGGUAUAAGCCAUGCUGAUUAUUUAAUGUGAUUCACUAGAAAAGUGUUACUCUUCCAAGCUGUUCCUUUCUUUUUUGUUCUAUGACAAGCCCACCCACCAGCCUUCACUGCCAAGAAGUCUUUCUGUCUCCACCCAGUGAAUGCCACCUCAUCUGAUUUCCAUCUACUGGCUGGCCAAGGAUGCAAGAAAUCCGUGGGCAGAAGGCAGUACUGAGCAGUUUAGAAGAUAGUUUUUUGAGUCACUGACUUUGACUCUGCUUCUUCUACUCAUUAGAAAGGUAAUUUGAAGCAAAGUUGCUUAGCUUUUCUGAGCCCCAUUUUUCAUCUAUGACACGAAGAUAGUAAAGCCAAACUCAAAGGGAAGCUUUGCCAUCUCAAGUAAUGGUGCACCUUCUACCCAGGUGCUCAAGCCCAAAUUCAAGGAUCUUUCUUGAUACCUCUUUUUCUCUGCCCUUUACAACUCAGACAAUCCUGUUGGGUCUAUCCUACUACAUAUGCCCCAGAUCCUACCACUUCUCACCAUCCCUGCUGCCACCAUCUUCAUCUAAGCCCCCAUUGUCUUGUAGUUCCUGCAGCACUCUUAGCUCUUAAGUUCACUUCUUUUAUUCUAUCUUUUAUAUUUCUGUUCCUAUGUAGAUCCUAGGGUCCCCUUUAAUAUGUAAAUCAAAUUAUGUCACUCACCUGCUUAGAUCUUACUAUUUGCUUCUUAUUGCUUUUGGAAUAAGAAGCCAAACUUUAUUUUAUAUUUAUUUUUAUAUUUACUUUUAUAAUUUUAACUUUUAUUUUAGAUGCAGGGGUACACAUGCAGAUUUGUUACAUGGGUAUAAUGUGUGAUACUGAGUUUUGAGGCAUGAAUGAUCCCAUCACAAAUGUAGUGAGGAUAGUACUCAAUAGUUUUUUCAACUCUUGCCCCAUCACUCCUUCCCCACUCUAGUAGUCUCCAGUGUCUAUUUUGCCAUCUGUAUGUCCAUGAACACCCAAUGCUUAGUUCCCACUUAUAAGUAAGAACAUGUGGCAUCUGGUUUUCUGUUCUUGCACUAAUUCACUUUGGAUAAUGGCCUCCAGCUGUAUCCAUAUUGUUGUUGCAAAGGACAUGAUUUCAUUUUUCAUGGCUGUAUACUAUUCCAUGAAAAGCCAAACUUUAAACUGAGCUCUGUGUCAUGGCUCUCAAGAUCUGCAGCUUCUAUCCUUGUGUAUCCUUUCAGCAUCAUCCUGUACAGAACUCUCCCUUGCUUACACUGUCAUUUCUCUACUGCUUGCUGUCUGAUAUACUUUAUGUUAGCAAUUCCUCCCACCCAAGCCACUCUUCUCCUCAUGUCUGCAUGAUGACUUUUCCACGUGUUACCUCAGACCGCCUCCCCAGGGAGGCUUUCCUUGACCACUCAAUCUAAACUGUUCCCUUUCCCACCUACUGUAACUACCUCUCAUCAUCCAGGUUUUUGUUUAAAUUCAUGUAUCACUACCUAAAAUAAUCUUAAGAUAAUAUUUGUACAUCUACACGUUUAAGCUCCCCGAAAGGAGGGACUUUGUGUUAUUCACACAGUAUCUUCAGCACCAAGGACAGUGCCCAGCACAUAGAAGGUGUUCAACAAAUAUACUUUGCAAAGAAUAAGUGAAUGAUAAGCCAUGUAAAGCACUUAACCACAGUGUCUGGCACAUAAGGAGUGUGAAAUAGAUGUGUUUAUUGUGUUUUAAGUGUCCCCAUUCUUCCAGUAAGCAGUUCCUGAUCUUUUCUGACUGGGUAACUAGGAUAAUAUUUUCUAAAGCCCAGUAUUUGGAAUCUGCAUAUGUCAUAACCACCUUCAGCACUAAAUGACCUUCAGAGGGAGGUGCAGGAAAUCCCAUUAGUUUUUUUAUUUAAUUCCAUUCUAUUUGUAAAAUUAUUUUUAACAGCUUUAUUGAGAUUAAUUUGCAAACCAUAAAAUCCCUCAAUUUAAAACAUGAAUUAAAAAUAAUUUUUUUGUAUAUUUAGAGAGUUGGGCAACCAUCAGCAUGACCUAAUUUUAGAACAUUUCCAUCAUCCUGAAAAGAAAUCUCAUGUCCAUUUAUAGUCACUGUCCCUUCCAUGUCCAGCCCUAGGCAACCACUAAUCUACUUUUUAUCUCUAAAGAUUGGCCUUUUCUGGACAUUUCGCAUAAAUGGAACAAUAAAAUAUAUAGUCUUUUGUGUCUUGUUUCUUUCAUUUAGCAUAGUAAUUUUGAGGUUCAUCAAAAUUCAGCGUCAUCUUGUACAUAUACACAUAUGUAUCUAGCAUGUGUCAGUACUUUGAUUAUUUUUGUCCAUACCACAUUUUGUUUAUUCAGUCAUCAUUCGAUGUACAUUGGAUUUGUCUCCAUUUUUUGGUUAUUGUGAAUAAUGGUAUUAUAAACAUUCACAUACAAAUU
rnacentral:lncRNA from 10 species